rnacentral:sRNA from 1 species
AAGUUCCUUGCGUUUGCUGACAAGUCCCCGAGAGAAAGGGAGGAUUGUGGUGUCGAUGCGGGGCCAUCGGUCCCAUUAGGGCACGUCACGUGGGAAGUUCAUUCCAUCCUGAGGUCAGUAAUACGAACCCUCAUUCUCCAUACACAAUGAUUGUGCACGCGUGAGUUUUCCGUGGAGUGGUCUUUUUCAGUAUUGGCUUUGGAUGGAGAGUCGAGCACAAAAUAGGCAAGGGGCUUUCUCUGUCCUCCGCCUCCUCGGAACAUUCCGGGAUAUGAAAUUCCAGACUGGGUUCUUUAGCAAAGCGAACGUGAGUUCGGUCCUCGCGUCUUUUCUCGGACUGACGAGAUGGAGAUUUCGACCGCUGUUUUGGCGGGAAAGUCGUGUUUUUGUCUAGUGAGUUGCAGCGAUACAGGGUGUCAGUUUCAAAGAUGGAUUUCUUGCUCUCGUCGCAUGGAAGUAGAGAAUCCAUGGACUCCAUCUUGAAUAGUUUCUUAGUAAAUGGCUGUUUCUCUUCCAGGUCCUCAAUUUUGAAUUUGUUGUCCCGUUUAUUAUUGUCCAGAUUUGUUAUAAUCUUCCUCACUUCGACAAAUCAAGAAGUUCAAUAAUAAAUAAUAAUUCUCC